GAACAAUUCGAUACAGUCAGCGGUUGUCAUUGCUGACGCGCAAGUUGUCAGCGAUCAUCACCACGGGCUCCCACGGCAUGGUUUUUAUCAGCGGUUGACGCGAUGGGCACAGAUGGGCUCAUAAGUUUCGCUAGCACAAAAAUGGUGGAGCAAAGGAUGAAUAGGCCCCUAAGUGGUUACUUCAAGCAGUUGUCACAGGUCACAAGUGAUUUUUUAGAGCCAACACGAAGGAGAAGAAAACCCAACAGUCGGGGAGCAUAUUUUAAAGUCGAACGAGUUAUUUCGAGGCGGUCACUGGAUCACGAAAUCGAGUAUCUUAUAAAGUGGGAUGGGUACAGCUAUUACAGCUGCAGCUGGGAAAACGAAGAUAACAUUACGAUCGAUCUUGUGCGGUAAAUUCAGUUCGAAUGAUCAGACAGCAUUGCGAUUAUUUACUAAUAUGAUUUUUUUCAUAAAAUAAAAUCCAGGAGAUUUUCUAUUUCUA